rnacentral:rRNA from 1 species
UACGGGGGGAGCAAGCGUUGUUCGGAUUUACUGGGCGUAAAGGGCGCGUAGGCGGCCACCGCAAGUCGACUGUGAAAUCUCCGGGCUUAACCCGGAAAGGUCAGCCGAUACUGCGGGGCUAGAGUGCAGAAGGGGCAACUGGAAUUCUCGGUGUAGCGGUGAAAUGCGUAGAUAUCGGGAGGAACACCUGAGGCGAAGGCGGGCUACUGGGCCGAUACUGACGCUGAUGCGCGAAAGCCAGGGGAGCAAACGGG